rnacentral:rRNA from 1 species
AACGAACGCUGGCGGCAGGCCUAACACAUGCAAGUCGAACGCACCGCAAGGUGAGUGGCAGACGGGUGAGUAACACGUGGGAACAUGCCCUUCGGUUCGGAAUAACUCAGGGAAACUUGAGCUAAUACCGGAUACGUCCGCGAGGAGAAAGAUUCAUCGCCGAAGGAUUGGCCCGCGUCUGAUUAGCUAGUUGGUGAGGUAACGGCUCACCAAGGCGACGAUCAGUAGCUGGUCUGAGAGGAUGAUCAGCCACAUUGGGACUGAGACACGGCCCAAACUCCUACGGGAGGCAGCAGUGGGGAAUAUUGGACAAUGGGCGAAAGCCUGAUCCAGCCAUGCCGCGUGAGUGAUGAAGGCCCUAGGGUUGUAAAGCUCUUUUACCUGGGAAGAUAAUGACGGUACCAGGAGAAUAAGCCCCGGCUAACUUCGUGCCAGCAGCCGCGGUAAUACGAAGGGGGCUAGCGUUGUUCGGAAUCACUGGGCGUAAAGAGCACGUAGGCGGAUCUUUAAGUCAGGGGUGAAAUCCCGAGGCUCAACCUCGGAACUGCCUUUGAUACUGGGGAUCUCGAGUCCGGGAGAGGUGAGUGGAACUGCGAGUGUAGAGGUGAAAUUCGUAGAUAUUCGCAAGAACACCAGUGGCGAAGGCGGCUCACUGGCCCGGAACUGACGCUGAGGUGCGAAAGCGUGGGGAGCAAACAGG